CUUUUACAGGUAAAGUGUUUAACUCUUGGAUGACAUCAGUGGUCCUGAUUUCAUUUGCUGUUAUAUUCAGUGUGAUCACUGGGAUAUUGAUCGCUAUGUUCAUCUAUAGACACAGAGAAAUACAGAGAAAGAAACUGAGUAAAGACGAGAAACUAAAGAGUGAAGAGAGGAGACUAAAAAAUGAAUGUGAGAGACUCGCAAUGAUAGAGAAGGGGACUGUAGAAAGUU